ensembl:lncRNA
ACAGAGUAAAUGUGGAAAUUGGUAGCAUUACGUACAACAUGCAUAAUAAAUCUUGGAAAUUUCCUUUAAAUAUUUUGCCAUACUAAAAACUUCAAAAAGCCCUUUGAUUGAAACAUUUGGAUAAAUGCUCAGAUGUCAAUACAUCUCCUAAGAGCAUUAGAAAGCGGUCCUUGUUAAUACUCUUACUUACACUGUUAAAGGAGAAUCUUACUUCCUGAGAACCAGACUAAAUCAUCGUGUUUUUCACUUCACCUUGCUUAAAUAAACAGAGCUGCCAAAAUCUGAUGGAUCUUUCAUAACGCCAGUACUAAAAAGCUUAGUAUAAGCAUGUGAAAAUUCAAAAUUUUCAGGCUUCCCUUAAAAAGUAGGUUUGGCCUUUGUUCUUGUCUUCCUCAAUAACUUGGAUCUGAAUGCUGCAUUAUUUUCCAGCUACAACCUAAGAAUGGUUUACAUUAUCAAAAAACUUUACCUAUGGGAGAAAUAGACAGCACAAGCAAACUAUAUUUGUGGAAAAGUGGACUCCUGAUUAAAUAAAAACAGAUCUUAAAAAGAGGAUGUAGAAGCCUGGGAUUUUGAGAAAGGAUCAGAGGGACUAUCACGAAGAGUUUAAAUAUGGGACACAGAUGAAGACGUAAAUAAGUUACGGCGAUAAUUUGUCAAGAGUUCCAGCUGUCGAUCUUCACCAGAUGAAUCUUCUCCAAUUACUGGCGGGAGUAUUUGACCCACCAGGCGACUUCCCUGAGUUGAACCACUUUUCUAAUGAUUCUAACUGUGGACAGUCCAAGUUGGCCAUAUGAGAAUUUGAACACGGCGGUGAUUUCUGAACAGUGUAGAUCAUGUCCAUGUGUCUGGCUGGACUUGUUUGCCCUGUGUCCAUUCCUUCAGCCUAAUUGAUUGUGACUCAAGUGGUAUUCUUUUGAAAGAUGAGGCCCAGACGGCAGUGGGUGAUGUCUUCAAUUUCCAACCAAAGGGCCCUAAAGGAGCCAGAACGGAUUUCCAGAAAGAGCCUUAAACCAAAAGAACGUACCUAUAAUGGAAGGCAGCCUCUCCUGGGAGACAAGUGGUCGUAGGAACCUUCUUUUUACUCCUCGGUUCACACCCUGUAGUCACCAUAAAAUUGCAACAUUUGAGCCAGAACAAUUUAUCUCAGGAACUAAUUGAAAACUAGACCAAGAAAAGAAGAAGUAAAAACAACUGGAAUUUUCCCUCUCUCACUGUAAAAAUAAAUGUCAUUCUCCCAUGACCAUGUGUGACUCCAUGAGAACUUCCAGUUAAUGCAGAUGUUGCCAAAUUUGCUACUAACUGGUGAAACGGAACAGAGCUCAGCUGACUUUGUUAUUUCUGUUGGCACUUCUAGGUGCCUUGAGACAACUGACAUUUGCAAGACUUAACCUGAGCCCCCCAGCUACAAAAGCUUGGAGGCCUCAGCUGUCACUUCGGUUUCCACGGAAACUCAAAUCAGAUUGCCAAAAAGGAGGAAGAAAAUUCUUAUGACUGGAGACUGGAUGUGCAUGUUUUGAAGAAGAAGAGGGGCUAAGUACAAUUAUUGCUGAAAAAGGACAAUGACCAUGUAAAUGGGAAAUUAGUGGUUUUACAGACGUCGUGUAGAUGAAAAUUCCAGAUGAAACUGAAAUGUAAAUUCAAUUAUCCUGUGAAUAGUCUUUUCCAAAGUAUGAGUCUAAAUGAAGCAGAAAUUUUCAAACUGUUGUUUACUGAUUGUUUCCAGAUGUUCUUGGCUUCUACUUUAUUUGUCUACAUGUAGCAAAGCGAAGUGCUAAACAGGACAAGAGGGAAACCAGCAGUUGCUGACCUAACACAUCUGUGGCACCCCGGCAU